ACGGAAGGCAGCAGUGGGGAAUAUUGCACAAUGGGCGAAAGCCUGAUGCAGCGACGCCGCGUGAGUGAAGAAGUAUCUCGGUAUGUAAAGCUCUAUCAGCAGGGAAGAAAAUGACGGUACCUGACUAAGAAGCCCCGGCUGACUACGUGCCAGCAGCCGCGGUAAUACGUAGGGGGCAAGCGUUAUCCGGAUUUACUGGGUGUAAAGGGAGCGUAGACGGUUUGGCAAGUCUGAAGUGAAAUGCGGGGGCUCAACUCCUGAACUGCUUUGGAAACUGUCGAACUAGAGUGCAGGAGAGGUAAGUGGAAUUCCUAGUGUAGCGGUGAAAUGCGUAGAUAUUAGGAGGAACACCAGUGGCGAAGGCGGCUUACUGGACUGUAACUGACGUUGAGGCUCGAAAGCGUGGGGAGCAAACAGGAUUAGAUACCCUGGUA
rnacentral:rRNA from 1 species